UUAAAAAGCUCGUAGUUGAAUUUCGGGAUUAGUACGUUGGUCGUGCCUUCGGUACGUACUGGUGUUACUGAUUCCUACCUUCUGACGAACCAUCAUGUCAUUAACUUGGUGUGGCGGGGAAUCAGGACUGUUACUUUGAAAAAAUUAGAGUGUUUAAAGCAGGCUCGCGCUUGAAUACAUUAGCAUGGAAUAAUGAAAUAGGACGUUGACCCUAUUUUGUUGGUUUCUAGGAUUGACGUAAUGAUUAAUAGGGAUAGUUGGGGG
rnacentral:rRNA from 1 species